rnacentral:sRNA from 1 species
UAUUAUUUGCUUUGGAGUGGUGCAGUAUUCUAGUCAGCCCCCCGUUCCUGAAGGCGGGCCUAAAAAUCCGCCAAAGGGCACAUCGAUGAAGUUCCUUGUGUUGGCUUGAGGCGCCCAGCCUUGGGUUAAUGCUGGGAGUUAAGGUUGAAGGGCGAUCCACAAUGGCAUGUGGGCGAUGACCCUUCUUCCGCGGAGGCCCCCAUAUUUGCGGUUUGUGUUCAAAAGACCUUACUGCGAAAUGGGGUUUGAACCUGCCUUGCCGCUUUUCUUGAUCUUCAGGAAAAGAAAAGGCGAGCAGCGUAGCCUGCCUUGAGUGGUGUUAGAGGGGAUUAUGGUGUGAAAAGCCUGUAUCGGUUGGCCGCUGAUUUUGAGCUUUAUGCCAUAUGAAAUCUACUCUGCAAAAGAGGCUAGGGAAUGUGCGAAGGGCUGUUGAGGAAAACUCCUAGACUGUUCUGCUAUCUAGACACCUGUUAGGGAUUAUAGUGCGGACUAAGUGGUAAUCUAGUCUAACGUUUGGCGACAGCGUUAAGAAGAGAGUAAAGGGAAACCGCGAAUAUGGCGACAUUUCGUACUCUUCUGGGAAAACCUACUGGACCUAAGCCGCAGUCUUUACUUAAUAAGGUGACCACUCCUUAUUACAUAAAG